UGUGCUAUACAUGCAAGUCGAACGCGUUGGCCCAAUUGAUUGAUGGUGCUUGCACCUGAUUGAUUUUGGUCGCCAACGAGUGGCGGACGGGUGAGUAACACGUAGGUAACCUGCCCAGAAGCGGGGGACAACAUUUGGAAACAGAUGCUAAUACCGCAUAACAGCGUUGUUCGCAUGAACAACGCUUAAAAGAUGGCUUCUCGCUAUCACUUCUGGAUGGACCUGCGGUGCAUUAGCUUGUUGGUGGGGUAACGGCCUACCAAGGCGAUGAUGCAUAGCCGAGUUGAGAGACUGAUCGGCCACAAUGGGACUGAGACACGGCCCAUACUCCUACGGGAGGCAGCAGUAGGGAAUCUUCCACAAUGGGCGCAAGCCUGAUGGAGCAACACCGCGUGAGUGAAGAAGGGUUUCGGCUCGUAAAGCUCUGUUGUUAAAGAAGAACACGUAUGAGAGUAACUGUUCAUACGUUGACGGUAUUUAACCAGAAAGUCACGGCUAACUACGUGCCAGCAGCCGCGGUAAUACGUAGGUGGCAAGCGUUAUCCGGAUUUAUUGGGCGUAAAGAGAGUGCAGGCGGUUUUCUAAGUCUGAUGUGAAAGCCUUCGGCUUAACCGGAGAAGUGCAUCGGAAACUGGAUAACUUGAGUGCAGAAGAGGGUAGUGGAACUCCAUGUGUAGCGGUGGAAUGCGUAGAUAUAUGGAAGAACACCAGUGGCGAAGGCGGCUACCUGGUCUGCAACUGACGCUGAGACUCGAAAGCAUGGGUAGCGAACAGGAUUAGAUACCCUGGUAGUCCAUGCCGUAAACGAUGAGUGCUAGGUGUUGGAGGGUUUCCGCCCUUCAGUGCCGGAGCUAACGCAUUAAGCACUCCGCCUGGGGAGUACGACCGCAAGGUUGAAACUCAAAGGAAUUGACGGGGGCCCGCACAAGCGGUGGAGCAUGUGGUUUAAUUCGAAGCUACGCGAAGAACCUUACCAGGUCUUGACAUCUUGCGCCAACCCUAGAGAUAGGGCGUUUCCUUCGGGAACGCAAUGACAGGUGGUGCAUGGUCGUCGUCAGCUCGUGUCGUGAGAUGUUGGGUUAAGUCCCGCAACGAGCGCAACCCUUGUUACUAGUUGCCAGCAUUAAGUUGGGCACUCUAGUGAGACUGCCGGUGACAAACCGGAGGAAGGUGGGGACGACGUCAGAUCAUCAUGCCCCUUAUGACCUGGGCUACACACGUGCUACAAUGGACGGUACAACGAGUCGCGAACUCGCGAGGGCAAGCAAAUCUCUUAAAACCGUUCUCAGUUCGGACUGCAGGCUGCAACUCGCCUGCACGAAGUCGGAAUCGCUAGUAAUCGCGGAUCAGCAUGCCGCGGUGAAUACGUUCCCGGGCCUUGUACACACCGCCCGUCACACCAUGAGAGUUUGUAACACCCAAAGUCGGUGGGGUAACCUUUUAGGAGCCAGCCGCCUAAG
rnacentral:rRNA from 1 species